rnacentral:rRNA from 1 species
CCUACGGGAGGCAGCAGUGGGGAAUAUUGGACAAUGGGCGAAAGCCUGAUCCAGCAAUGCCGCGUGAGUGAUGAAGGCCUUAGGGUUGUAAAGCUCUUUUACCAGGGAUGAUAAUGGCAGUACCUGGAGAAUAAGCUCCGGCUAACUCCGUGCCAGCAGCCGCGGUAAUACGGAGGGAGCUAGCGUUGUUCGGAAUUACUGGGCGUAAAGCGUACGUAGGCGGUUAUUCAAGUCAGAGGUGAAAGCCUGGAGCUCAACUCCAGAACUGCCUUUGAAACUAGAUAGCUAGAAUCUUGGAGAGGUGAGUGGAAUUCCGAGUGUAGAGGUGAAAUUCGUAGAUAUUCGGAAGAACACCAGUGGCGAAGGCGACUCACUGGACAAGUAUUGACGCUGAGGUACGAAAGCGUGGGGAGCAAACAGGAUUAGAUACCCUGGUAGUCCACGCCGUAAACGAUGAUAACUAGCUGUUCGGGCUCUACGAGCUUGAGUGGCGCAGACUACGACAUAAGUUAUCCGUCCGUCGGGAGGUACGGUACGCGAAGAAUUAAAACGUUAAAAUUAAGUAAGUUAGUACGGACGUAGAGACGUAGCGAACGGACGACGACGAGGGAGGAGG